rnacentral:rRNA from 1 species
ACUCCGGGGAUAACAGGCUGAUACCGCCCAAGAGUUCAUAUCGACGGCGGUGUUUGGCACCUCGAUGUCGGCUCAUCACAUCCUGGGGCUGAAGUAGGUCCCAAGGGUAUGGCUGUUCGCCAUUUAAAGUGGUACGCGAGCUGGGUUUAGAACGUCGUGAGACAGUUCGGUCCCUAUCUGCCGUGGGCGCUGGAGAAUUGAGGGGGGCUGCUCCUAGUACGAGAGGACCGGAGUGGACGCAUCACUGGUGUUCGGGUUGUCAUGCCAAUGGCACUGCCCGGUAGCUAAAUGCGGAAGAGAUAAGUGCUGAAAGCAUCUAAGCACGAAACUUGCCCCGAGAUGAGUUCUCCCUGAGACUUUAAGUCUCCUGAAGGAACGUUAAAGACGAUGACGUUGAUAGGCCGGGUGUGUAAGCGCAGCGAUGCGUUGAGCUAACCGGUACUAAUGAACCGUGAGGCUUAACCUU